rnacentral:rRNA from 1 species
GGGUGCGAUUAUACCAACGUUAAUGCACCGAAUCCCAUCAGAACUCCGCAGUUAAGCACGCUUGAGCUAGAGUAGUACUGGGAUGGGUGACCUCAUGGGAAGUCCUAGUGUUGCGCCCU